CGCCUCUCGAUAUACAUGAGAGGUCCAGCCUGCCCAGUGACUAAGUUCAACGGCCGCGGUAUCCUAACCGUGCGAAGGUAGCGUAAUCACUUGUUUUUUAAAUGAAGACUAGUAUGAACGGCACCACGAGGGUUAUACUGUCUCCUUUUUUUAAUCAAUGAAACUGAUCUCCCCGUGAAGAAGCGGGGAUGUUUAUAUAAGACGAGAAGACCCUAUGGAGCUUUAAACAAUUAUAGCACUGGCCCACACCUCUUAUUCUUCUGAGACAUAAUUAUUAUUUAAGCCAACAUGACUAUUAGUUUUAGGUUGGGGUGACCGCGGAGCAAAAACCAACCUCCACGUUGAACGGAGCUACUCCUGAGCCAAAAGCUACAACUUUAAGCACCAAUAAACUGACAUCAAUUGACCCAACAUGUUGAUCAACGAACCAAGUUACCCUAGGGAUAACAGCGCAAUCCAUUUCAAGAGCUCCUAUCGACAAAUGGGUUUACGACCUCGAUGUUGGAUCAGGGUAUCCCAGUGGUGCAGCCGCUACUAAAGGUUCGUUUGUUCAACGAUUAAAACCCU
rnacentral:rRNA from 1 species